rnacentral:rRNA from 1 species
CAGUCGAACGAGAGAAGAGAAGCUUGCUUUUCUGAUCUAGUGGCGGACGGCUGAGUAACACGUGAGCAAUCUGCCUUUCAGAGGGGGAUACCGAUUGGAAACGAUCGUUAAUACCGCAUAACAUAAUUGAACCGCAUGAUUUGAUUAUCAAAGAUUUAUCGCUGAAAGAUGAGCUCGCGUCUGAUUAGCUAGUUGGUAAGGUAACGGCUUACCAAGGCGACGAUCAGUAGCCGGACUGAGAGGUUGAUCGGCCACAUUGGGACUGAGACACGGCCCAGACUCCUACGGGAGGCAGCAGUGGGGAAUAUUGCACAAUGGAGGAAACUCUGAUGCAGCGAUGCCGCGUGAGGGAAGAAGGUUUUAGGAUUGUAAACCUCUGUCUUCAGGGACGAAAAAAGACGGUACCUGAGGAGGAAGCUCCGGCUAACUACGUGCCAGCAGCCGCGGUAAUACGUAGGGAGCGAGCGUUGUCCGGAAUUACUGGGUGUAAAGGGAGCGUAGGCGGGAUCGCAAGUCAGAUGUGAAAACUAUGGGCUUAACCCAUAAACUGCAUUUGAAACUGUGGUUCUUGAGUGAAGUAGAGGUAAGCGGAAUUCCUAGUGUAGCGGUGAAAUGCGUAGAUAUUAGGAGGAACAUCAGUGGCGAAGGCGGCUUACUGGGCUUUAACUGACGCUGAGGCUCGAAAGCGU